GACGUAGGGUGCGAGCGUUGUCCGGAUUUAUUGGGCGUAAAGAGCUCGUAGGCGGCUCGUCGCGUCAGCUGUGAAAACCCGCGGCUUAACCGUGGGCUUGCAGCUGAUACGGGCGGGCUAGAGUUCGGUAGGGGAGACUGGAAUUCCUGGUGUAGCGGUGAAAUGCGCAGAUAUCAGGAGGAACACCGAUGGCGAAGGCAGGUCUCUGGGCCACUACUGACGCUGAGAAGCGAAAGCAUGGGGAGCGAACAGG
rnacentral:rRNA from 1 species